rnacentral:rRNA from 1 species
GGGACAACCCGCCGAAAGGCGGGCUAAACCCGCGUACAUGCCACCGGGGCAUCCCGGAGGCAGGAAAGGCUUCGGCCGGACAGGGAUGGGCAUGCGGCGCAUUAGGCAGUAGGCGGGGUAACGGCCCACCUAACCGACGAUGCGUAGGGGUUCUGAGAGGAAGGUCCCCCACACUGGUACUGAGACACGGACCAGACUCCUACGGGAGGCAGUAGUGAGGAAUAUUGGUCAAUGGUCGGGAGACUGAACCAGCCAAGCCGCGUGAGGGAUGAAGGUACAGAGUAUCGUAAACCUCUUUUGUCAGGGAACAAAGGCGGGGACGUGUCCCCGGAUGAGUGUACCUGAAGAAAAAGCAUCGGCUAACUCCGUGCCAGCAGCCGCGGUAAUACGGAGGAUGCGAGCGUUAUCCGGAUUUAUUGGGUUUAAAGGGUGCGCAGGCGGUCUGUUAAGUCAGCGGUCAAAGCCCGGGGCUCAACCCCGGCCCGCCGUUGAAACUGGCAGUCUCGAGUUGGAGAGAAGUAUGCGGAAUGCGCGGUGUAGCGGUGAAAUGCAUAGAUAUCGCGCAGAACUCCGAUUGCGAAGGCAGCAUGCCGGCUCCACACUGACGCUGAGGCACGAAAGCGUGGGUAUCGAACAGGAUUAGAUACCCUGGUAGUCCACGCAGUAAAC